GAUCCUGGCUCAGGACGAACGCUGGCGGCGUGCUUAACACAUGCAAGUCGAACGGGAGUAUUGAAGAAGCUUGCUUAGAGAUACUUUAGUGGCGGACGGGUGAGUAACGCGUGAGGAGCUGUCCUAUGCAGGGGGACAACAGCUGGAAACGGCUGCUAAUACCCCAUAAGCCGAGAGGUAAAGGGAUCAAUCCGGCAGAGGAGGUACUCGCGCCCGAUUAGUUAGUUGGUGGGGUAAUGGCCUACCAAGACUGCGAUCGGUAGCCGGACUGAGAGGUCGAACGGCCACAUUGGAACUGAGAGACGGUCCAGACUCCUACGGGAGGCAGCAGUGGGGAAUAUUGGGCAAUGGGGGGAAAAACCCCUGACCCAGCAACGCCGCGUGAAGGAAGAAGGCCUUCGGGUUGUAAACUUCUUUGAUCAGGGAAGAAACAAAUGACGGUACCUGAAAAACAAGCCACGGCUAACUACGUGCCAGCAGCCGC
rnacentral:rRNA from 1 species